GACGAACCGUGCGAACGUUGUUCGGAUUCACUGGGCUUAAAGGGCGCGUAGGCGGGCUCGCCAGUCUGUGGUGAAAGCCCCCCGGCUUAACCGGGGGAAGUGCCGUGGAUACUGCGAGUCUUUGAGGAGGGGUAGGGGGCAUCUGGAACGCUGGGGUGGAGCGGUGAAAUGCGUUGAUAUCCAGCGGAACUCCGGUGGCGAAGGCGAGGUGCUGGACCCUUUCUGACGCUGAGGCGCGAAAGCCAGGGGAGCAAACGGG
rnacentral:rRNA from 1 species